AGCCAUGCGUUGAGCACAGAGCGAACUAUUCUUUCGCCUUUUACUAAAGAAUACUGUGUGCACGGCGCUUUAAGUGGCGUAUAAUUAUUUUUGAAAGGGUGUACCUUUAUGAGUACU